rnacentral:tRNA from 1 species
GUCCCUGUAGCACAAUGAUAGCGUGUUGGACUUCUAAUUCAAAGGUCGUGGGUUCGAAUCCCGCCUGGGAUG